ensembl:lncRNA
AUCUCCACGACGAAGCCCUUUCUGGCAAGCUAAACCUCUCUCCGCCUGGUCUACCUUUCUAGAAUCACACAGAACGCAGUAAGAAAAAUGUGCACGCUAAGUUGCUUCAGUCGUGUCAAACUCUUUGUGACCCCUUGGACUAUGGCCCACCAGGCUCCUCUGUCCUCGGGAUUCUCCAGUGCUCAGCUCUGCUCAUGACAGACUGUGAUGCUGAAAAAAUGAUGAGGGAAGAACCGGGAGGAGCUGGGUGAUUGAAGGGAUGAAUGCGCUCCUUGGAGACAAGCCCCGGCAGAGCGACCCAGGACGUUUGGGUGAGGACUCAGAUGUCAGCAACUGGGGGCCCGGCGGGGAGCUGACAUCUGUCCAAAGACCGACUCUCCCCACCGCCAACAAGCAGAGGAUUCCGAAGUUUAGUGACUUGAUCAAGUGGCAGAGCCAAGAAUAGAACUCCCCUCCCUGGAAGCAGCUCCCAGCUUCCUACACGCAGGUUAGAAAAAGAACACUAGAGUCACCAGUGCCCAGAUGAAGAGAGAAGAGAGAAGGCUGCCGUUUCCUUAGAGGAGCCGUGCAGCCCCCACCCCAUGCAUCCUCCUGCUUCUACCCAGGAGGGAACCACGACCCUGACCCUGAGAGGGCUUUCACGUUUCUACACACAAUCCAGAGUCAGAUCCCGGAGUCCCAAGCGACAGACCCAGCUGAGACUGUAUGAAUUCUCUAGGUUAAUUAGGGGAGGGCUGACAUCUUUAAAGCAUGGAGUCUUCAGUCCGUGUACACUGUCUAUGUCUGUCCUCCGUUCAUGCUCAAUACAGAUCUGUAUUGAAGUCUCAUAAAUAUUUGGUUAUUUUCC